rnacentral:sRNA from 1 species
AGAGAAACAGAUUCCACCACCAAAUCUCGUGUAAUACGAUAUUUAUCCACUCUACAGUUAAUUUUUAAUAUUUAUCGGGCAAGCCUCACAUUUUAAAUUUGAAAAUUUAACUGUCUUGAGUGGAUAAAUAUCGUAUUACACUCGAUGCAGUGGUAGAUUCUAUAUUUAU